rnacentral:miRNA from 1 species
UCUUGGUAGAAAGCAGAUUCU